GUAUUCUACUAGACAUAUGUCGUUAUUGCAAGAAUACAGGAGCAUACACUUCUAGCUAUGUGUAACUAACUGUUAAAUUAAGGAAGCUGUAGGACGGUUUUCCACGCCGUACGAUUACACUUUUUUUCAAUGGAGUCUGGUGGCUUAUAAGCUCCAAGUCACCAGACUCCAUUGGAAAAAAAAAACAGAUUUUACGGCGUGUAAGACCGGUCUACAGCUGCCUUAAUUAAACGACAAAUUACAUAACAGCACACAGACAGACCGCAGCAUUGAAGGGCCUUCCUUUAUUUCUCCGUGAGAGUCACGAGAAGCUGUUCAGGAAUUGUCUGGAUACUGACCCAGAAGAGGAGAAGACAAGGGGUCUCAUAGUGGGGAUACUUUCUGUGAUGGAGGAUCACAGUUCCGCUCCUGCAAGACUUCAAAAUGUAGCUGUGGUUUUAGAAGAACAUAUCGUCUUACAAGACCUCCCUGACCUGCCAACGGCCCUUGCGUUGCUCUUUGGGCUGAUAUACGCUCUGAACAUCCAGUUUCCCAAGGAACUGCGAUACACCUUUGAAAUGUUUCAAAAGAUCUUUUUGGAGCUGGGGACAGAUCUCUCU
ensembl:lncRNA